rnacentral:lncRNA from 1 species
GGAAUCAAUAUCUAAAGUCUAUACAUGCCUUGUUCAAAGCAAAGUGAAAAUAGCAACAUGCCACCAGGUGCUACCUUCCAUUACAAAGACGACAACGGGAAUCUAAACGCUAUACAUUUCCUGUUCAGAAGAACAUCAAAAGGGCAAACAUGCUGGCUUGGGCGAUACGAAACAAAAGGUCGAUGUUCCAGCUCCAUUGUGUUAGCCACCUCAGUCUUGCGAUGCUUGGCAUCCUGUAUAGCCACAUCUUUCUUCAGAUUUUGGAGCCUCUUAGAAUGAAGUUGCCCUGACAAGGAAAAGGUAUAUCAAUACAGACUGUGUUUCUUAUUUUUAUUGUGGUGUGAACGGAGGAAAAAGGAUGAUGCACGACUACAAAACACUAACCUACAACCUGAUUGUCAACCAACUAUAUAAUACUCAACUAAAUUUGAGAGGGAUCUCCUGGGCACUAAGCUGUUGUAAAAGGUUUUUAAGGUCCCCACUUUAUCAUCAGCCUAAAAAUAAAACAUAAGGUGGAGGGCAAGGGAAGGACUAAAAUAAAAAGGAGUAGUCACUUGGUAAUGCAUACUGGAAAGACAUUUUGCUGGUAAGGAUCUCCUCUGCUCACAGAAAAAAUAAAAAUAUAGAAAACGUGCAUUGCACAGGAUAGAUCAACCCAACACAGUAAGUUUAGAUCAAUAGCAAUGUAGAAGAGCGAGACAGUUAGUUAUACCAAAAGCAAGACAAGCCAAAAGUUCAUGAGAAAGGGGAGAUAUAUAUUUAGUGGCAAAAGUAAGCCAAAAUGAUGGGUUCUUGUUAAGUAGAUAUAAUAGUUGGGUUAUUAGAUAGCGAAAGCAAGCCAGAGCAGGGGAUUAGAUUCCUAUAUAGUUUUAACAAUCCUAUAUACUUCCGCUAUAAAGAACCAGCGCUGCAUCAAUAUAACUAAUAUAUAGUAGCCAACAUGAAGAAUGCCAUAAUUCUUAGAGUGGUGCCCUUUUACAAAAGGCGAGGACAAUCAGACGUUCGCAUAACACAUGACAGCACCUAGUUGUAUGACAUUUGCAAGUUAUUGGGGCCAAAGCCAACCAUACGGCUAAGAGAAAAAUGCAUCUGCAAAUGAAGCAUUAUCAUUAACUCGGAAUGAAGGGUUCUACUUUGAAGUGUUUGUGAAGGACAUGGUUUAGAAGUCAUGGCCCAGGAUCACCGUGACACUUUAAUCUCAACAUCAAUACACCUCCAAUACCACUAAGGGAAAACAGAGUUAAAAUUCAGUUCGGAACGAAAUAUAAACAACAGUGGUCAAAAUGCACAAUCCUUGCUCAAAUCAAAAUGAUAAUCACCAGAUGCUAUAUAUUUUGGCUCCCUCCCACAUCAAAUUAAUUUACAAUUAUGGAGGAUUGUUCUUAACAAAGUAAUUGACAAAGAAGUGAUCGCCAAUUGCACUGUCUACUUAUGUCUUUAUGAAUGCAAAUGCUUUCUAUUGAUCUCUAGAUUUCAUCUAAUUGAUAUUUUCUUUCCCUCCAUUCGAGAACAUAUACAUUCCUUUAAAACAAAAUCUAUUUAGGAUAAAGUGUUCCCACGUAGCUUUAUGUCUGUGUUUCCUCUUAAAUUAAAUGUAUUAGAAACAAUCAUCAAGAAGAUAAAGAAAAAAUACAUAUUUUCUCAUUUCAAAAAUAUCGCGGUUCAAGGUAAGGCGCUUUAGAGGAAGGGAAGAAAACAAUAUCACAGAGACUUCUUUUCACCUCUAAAGAUCUGAAUCUUACCUGGCAUGUAGUUCAAGGGAGAAGUUGCUUCUACCACCGCUCGCUGGUUGUGUGCCUGAUAAUUCCUCCCAGAGUGAUAUCAUCC